CCUACGGGUGGCAGCAGUGAGGAAUAUUGGUCAAUGGACGGGAGUCUGAACCAGCCAAGCCGCGUGCAGGAUGACGGCUCUAUGGGUUGUAAACUGCUUUUGUAUGGGGAUAAAACGCCGUACGUGUGGGGUCUUGCACGUACUAUACGAAUAAGGAUCGGCUAACUCCGUGCCAGCAGCCGCGGUAAUACGGAGGAUCCGAGCGUUAUCCGGAUUUAUUGGGUUUAAAGGGAGCGUAGAUGGGUUGUUAAGUCAGUGGUGAAAGUUUGCGGCUCAACCGUAAAAUUGCAAUUGAUACUGGCAGUCUUGAGUACAGUUGAGGUAGGCGGAAUUCGUGGUGUAGCGGUGAAAUGCUUAGAUAUCACGAAGAACCCCGAUUGCGAAGGCAGCUUACUAAACUGUGACUGACAUUGAUGCUCGAAAGUGUGGGUAUCAAACAGGAUUAGAUACCCUUGUAGUC
rnacentral:rRNA from 1 species